rnacentral:rRNA from 1 species
CGUAGGAUGCAAGCGUUGUCCGGAUUUAUUGGGCGUAAAGAGUUCGUAGGUGGUUUGUUAAGUCUGAUGUUAAAGACUGGGGCUCAACCUCGGAAAUGCAUUGGAUACUGGCAGACUUGAGUGUGGUAAAGGCAAUCGGAAUUCCAGGUGUAGCGGUGAAAUGCGUAGAUAUCUGGAAGAACACCGGUGGCGCAAGCGGAUUGCUGGGCCAUAACUGACACUGAGGAACGAAAGCUAGGGGAGCGAAUGGGAUUAGAUACCCCAGUAGUCCUAGCCGUAAACGAUGAAUACUAGGCGUAUCGGGUAUCGACCCCUGAUGUGCCGCUGCUAACGCGAUAAGUAUUCCGCCUGAGUAGUACGGCCGCAAGGUUG